CCACUUUUAACAACGGAUCUCUUGGUUCUCGCAUCGAUGAAGAACGUAGCAAAGUGCGAUAACUAGUGUGAAUUGCAUAUUCAGUGAAUCAUCGAGUCUUUGAACGCAACUUGCGCUCAAUGGUAUUCCAUUGAGCACGCCUGUUUCAGUAUCAAAA
rnacentral:rRNA from 1 species